GGAGCAGAAUGAAAAUGAGGCCCAGUGGAGAAGUGACAUUCCCAAGAUCACCCUGCCAGACCCCAAGCCUGUUUGAGUUGUGGCCCAUGCUACCUCCCACCUAUUCUCCUAAUGCUUCCAUCUCUAAGUGUGUGCAUCAUCUACAGGUAUCUUCUUAGACCAAGUCUAGAAACAGUCUUAGGACAAUAACAAUUCCAUUCUAGAAAGAAUCUCCCAACAUUUCUUCUAUCUCAACCUCAACUGCAUCUGCCUGUGAACUUCCAGCUUACCAAGGCUCUAUAUCUUCUGGCAGUGACAAAGGCUCCUUCCAUGAUAUGUAUUCAUUUCCUACCACUGUAGUGGAAGAGAGACUAUCCCUGUCUUUACACCCGGUAGCAUUUCCAACAGUAAGCUGUGAGAUUCUGCUUGAAAUCACCUCUCAAACAAAUAAAAAACAGACCUGGGAAAUGUGCUACACUCAUUCUGCUGAAGAAAUUGGGCAAGAAUGUUUUCUAAGACCGCGAACUCCAGAUUUGCGAUGUGGCAAAUCCUGAAGCGUACAUGGAUAUCUCUCACAGCUAAAGUAUCCCUCACCCCUACCCAGUGCUUCUUACCCCUGGCGCGAGAGAAUCACCUGCGGGGAGGAAAACUUUCAAAAUCCCUUAAACCCAAGUUGUAACCGAUCAAUUAAAUCAGAAUCCUUGCAGUUGGAUCUGAAAAAAAUACGGUUUAAAGUUGUGCAGGUGAUUACAAUGUGUAGGCACGCCACAAAACCAUGGGUUUAACCAGCAACCUUUGUUAGAAAUGAUUUCUCAAAUGAAUGUAAAAACGUUUGCUGCUGAAUUGUGACCUUUCCAUUUUACUUGCUUUUCCUACAAAGUAUAUUUUGCAGACCCAGGCAGUGCUGCUUGCUCUGUUCUUGAUUCACCGAGUGCCGUGUGUGCUCAGUGCAUCCUGUGCACUGGUCACUGUGCUGUGUGCCCUGGCCUGGGUGAGCAUCAUUCUUCGG
rnacentral:lncRNA from 1 species